AUUGAACGCUGGCGGCAGGCCUAACACAUGCAAGUCGAGCGGAUGAAGGGAGCUUGCUCCUGGAUUCAGCGGCGGACGGGUGAGUAAUGCCUAGGAACCUGCCUGGUAGUGGGGGAUAACGUCCGGAAACGGGCGCUAAUACCGCAUACGUCCUGAGGGAGAAAGUGGGGGAUCUUCGGACCUCACGCUAUCAGAUGAGCCUAGGUCGGAUUAGCUAGUUGGUGGGGUAAAGGCCUACCAAGGCGACGAUCCGUAACUGGUCUGAGAGGAUGAUCAGUCAAACUGGAACUGAGACACGGUCCAGACUCCUACGGGAGGCAGCAGUGGGGAAUAUUGGACAAGGGGCGAAAGCCUGAUCCAGCCAUGCCGCGUGUGUGAAGAAGGUCUUCGGAUUGUAAAGCACUUUAAGUUGGGAGGAAGGGCAGUAAGUUAAUACCUUGCUGUUUCGACGUUACCAACAGAAUAAGCACCGGCUAACUUCGUG
rnacentral:rRNA from 1 species